rnacentral:rRNA from 1 species
GACGAACGCUGGCGGCGUGCUUAACACAUGCAAGUCGAACGGAAAGGCCCUGCUUGCAGGGUACUCGAGUGGCGAACGGGUGAGUAACACGUGGGUGAUCUGCCCUGCACUUCGGGAUAAGCCUGGGAAACUGGGUCUAAUACCGGAUAGGAGCCAUUUUUAGUGUGAUGGUUGGAAAGUUUUUUCGGUGUAGGAUGAGCUCGCGGCCUAUCAGCUUGUUGGUGGGGUAAUGGCCUACCAAGGCGGCGACGGGUAGCCGGCCUGGGAGGGUGGACGGCCACACUGGGACUGAGAGACGGCCCAGACUCCGACGGGAGGCAGCAGUGGGGAAUGUUGCACAAUGGGCGCAAGCGUGAUGCAGCGACGCCGCGGGGGGGAUGACGGCCUUCGGGUUGUAAACUCCUUUCGCUAGGGACGAAGCUUUUUGUGACGGUACCUAGAUAAGAAGCACCGGCUAACUACGUG